CCACGGUGGCAGCUGGGGGCAGCCCCAUGGUGGCAGCUGG
rfam:Otolemur garnettii contig053821, whole genome shotgun sequence.